rnacentral:lncRNA from 1 species
UGUAUAUUCCCCUCCAAAGGAGAAUUCAGCUAGGUGUUUAAAUUGUACUUGUUUUGUUUUUGAAAUAAAUUGAUAGACUGUCCUGGCAUUAGGUAGACAAAGCAUAAAUUCUGUUUGCAAUCAGCUCUAAAUAUUCCUGAACUUACAUAUCUUUGCUUCCUGUGCUUUACUACUUUGUUCCCUCAUUCAAUUAUGAGUCUGGGUGACCUUGGUACUUUCUCUGUUUAUUAUACAGGAACUUUCUCAAGACUACAGAGAAUAAAAUCCUCAAGCCAAAUUUUUUUAUUUGGCAUGAAACCUUCUCCCCUACUUCCUUUUGCAAGCUAACCUCAAUAUUGUAGGUGACACCUGGCUGCGGCAAAAUUGCUUCCUUUUUCUCUUGAUCCCAGGCUAUUGGUGUCCAUGUAUGAAAGGUGUGUGGCAGCGGCAGGAGAGGAGAGGGAGCUGGUAGGGAUGGAGCCCUCGUGUGUGGAGAAGAGAAACAAGAUUAACCUCAUUCCUAGAGAGUAUGUGUGCCUCUUCACCACAAAAAGAAAAAUCAGUUCAUUGAUUAGUAUCCUAGGGCAUCUUUUGUGGCUCUUGGAAGACUGCUGUUGAUUGACACGGGCUUCGAGAAUGCCCACAGCUGCUUCAGCCCUAACUCCUCCCUAGAUAUUCAGCUUCAGGCAACACCCAGCCAAAGAGCUCUGGGGACCAACGGGGAUGCCAAACAUAAGAAAAUCAUCACACACAUUUCUAUUUUUAAACUAGAAGCAAAAUGGUUAGUAGAGGUGAAUUUUUUGUGAAAUCUCAAAUGGUCAUUUUUUUUCAUCUGCAUGACUUUGUAGAACUAAAAAAAAAUCAAUGACUCUACAAUAUUGGUAGAAUUGAAUAUAAGGUCUUGCAAUAAAGUUAAAUGUAUGGCCCAAAUAAACAUAUUUCUUUAUAAUUGGCUUUUAAUCCUAUUUGCAUACAGUCCUCUGUGAAGCUUAAUACAGUUUAUACAACUUUGUCAAUUAUACUUUUGUCAAUUGAAGCGGAAAAAAGUGAAAUCAUCUGUGAAGAUUGUUAAAGCUUAGAUGCUUCAGUUUUGUGCAUCUCUGCCACUUUGGGCGAGUCACCUAACCUCUCUGUGCCUCAGUUACUGCAUCUGUGAAACGGGGGUAAUAUCUGCAUCUUCUUGAUAGGAAUGCUCUGCGGAUUAAAUGGGUUAGUGUAUGUAAAGCCCUCAGGACAGUGCCCAGCACAUAGAAAACAUGCCCUCAUAUAGUAUUUGCUACUGUUAUUCUAUGUAUGGUCACUUGGAUCUAUGUUUUGCAGAAUUCUGGUCUGACUCUCAAUAUGAGUUUAUUCAUGGAGGAAGCUCAGUUUACCGAUCUGGUAUUGUGAAUAUGGGGCUAAGUGGGGAGAAACGGUGUACAUAUUGCACCUGUUAGGACAGUACUCCUAUUAGUCAUGUGUAGGGGCAUUCAUGAAAGAAGGGGAAGGUAAAUGCAUGCAGAAGUCAUAUACUGGAACUGGAGGCAGGUACCAGCACCCUAAUGCUUCUAGAAUGAGAUUUUGCCUUGGUGUUUCCCCAAGGUCUUCCACAGUCUACCAAAAUGUGUUUAUUUUUCUAAAAUGAAAAUGAUAUGUUUAUGGGGCACCUGGGUGGCUCAGAUGGUUAAGCAUCUACCUUCAGCUCAGGUCAUGAUCUCAGGGUCCUGGGAUGGAGCCCCGAGUCAGGCUCCCUGCUCAAUGAGGAGUCUACUUCUUCCUCUUCCUCUGCCCCUUCCCCUGCUUGUGGUCUCUCCCUCUCUCAAGUAAAUAAAUAAAAUUCUAAAAAAAGAAAAUAGGUACGUUUGUACAACCAGAAUCCCAUUCUAUAUAUGUUUCAGCUUAAAGCAUAGAUCCCAAAUUUUAAAAUAUGGUAACAAAACAUGGAAUCAGUCUUGGAUACAGUCAAGAAAGUUUGGCAACAAACGUUUGGCAGAAAGAACAAAAUUUGUACAACUGUAGAAAGGACCUGAAAUUAUGGCCUGAGGUGCAUACGUGUUCUGUGGUAGGAUUUGUUUGUUAUCAUUAAGAAUUCUUAUGCACUGUGACAAAUGAUCAGUCACCUGUCAGCUCCCAAUCUAAGCGUGCGUCCCCUGAUUUGUAGUAAGCAUGAUGCU